CGAAAACAGAGCCUUUGCUCUCAACUCUCUCUCUCGCUUCACCGACCACCAGGCAGCACCACAUCUCCUCCCACCCCUUCAAGACGAUCGUGCGCAGCUGCAGGAGGCGGCCUUGCGCUGCAGAACCACCGGAGACGACGGCGGAGGCCGAAAAAAUCCGUUUUUGUUCCAAGCUUGAUAACUCGAGCUACCGGCCACGAAACCUUCCCAAACUUCACCCACAGGUUCGCCUUGACCUUCUGGAACUCCCAGAACCUCCCUUGCACGGCGUCGCUGCCUCUGGAAGCGGCUGGAACUCGAACCCGGUUGCACCGAAAACUUCGAUCAGAAGGAAUCGAGGCCUGAGGUUGCAUUUUUUACGUCGAACUUGGAGCUCGCCGGUUUCUGGGUUUUUUUCCGGCCAACCCGACUGUUUGAGGUGAUUAACGGUUUUUACUUGGGCGAGCGAGUUUUGGUGUGAUUGUGAGAGUGAAGACGCAGCGGGAUCAGAGCGGGUAAUCCUACAGGACAGAAGAAUCAGGAAGGAGAUCGAGCUGUGUAGAGUAGCUGCAUGUAAUACUCUGUUUUUUCUAUUGAGAGGUUUGUUAUGCUCAUUUAGAGCUUUACAAUCUUACUUGUAAGAGUGAGUUGUAAUAAUUAACUCGAGGUUUUCGAGAUUGAA